UACGGAGGGUACAAGCAUUAAUCGGAUUUACUGGGCGUAAAGGGUGCGUAGGCGGAUAGGAUAGUCAGAUGUGAAAUUCCGGUACUCAAUUUCGGAGCUGCAUUUGAAACUCCCUAUCUCGAGGGUAGACGGAGAGAACGGAAUUCCAUGUGUAGCGGUGAAAUGCGUAGAUAUAUGGAAGAACACCUGUGGCGUAAGCGGUUCUCUAGUUUAUUUCUGACGCUGAGGCACGAGAGUGCGGGGAGCAAACAGG
rnacentral:rRNA from 1 species